UACGUAGGGUGCAAGCGUUAAUCGGAAUUACUGGGCGUAAAGCGUGCGCAGGCGGUCGUGCAAGUCGCGUGUGAAAGCCCCCGGCUCAACUGGGGAGGGUCACGCGAUACUGCUCGACUUGAAGGCAGGAGAGGGAAGUGGAAUUCCCGGUGUAGUGGUGAAAUGCGUAGAUAUCGGGAGGAACACCAGUGGCGAAGGCGACUUCCUGGCCUGUUCUUGACGCUGAGGCGCGAAAGCUAGGGUAGCAAACGGG
rnacentral:rRNA from 1 species